rnacentral:tRNA from 1 species
UGGCUCAGAUGGUAAAGCGUCUGCCUGCAAUGCAAGAGACCCAGGUUCAAUCCCUGG